CCUGCGAGGCCUCACUGAGCGCCUGGUGCCCACUCCCUGCUGGCUCCAGACCAAGACGCAGCCCGUCCUCAGGUGGCGUCUAGCCUGCUCUCCCUCUGGGGAGCCCCUCACAUGGCAGAGUCUCUGAAAGAAAGCAGGGCCCCCAAAUCAGAAGGGAAGAGUCCUCUGGUGCAUAGUAAGCACCCGCUCGCUCGCUGGAGAUAACAUGCAGGGACCUGCUGUUUUGACAGUGGGAGGUCAGGGAGAAAGGAAGAGGAAGGAGCUCGAGAGUGCAGGCCAGAGGCACACAGCAGACUGUACUCACAGCCCAAGGAGCCAGGCCACCGCACAGUUUUGUCCAGCUUGGCUAAAGUGGAAAGGGGACCCGGUGGACGAGGGACACUGCAGUAAAUGUCUCUAAGUUUCAUAGUGCAUGGCCGGUUAUCUUCUGGACAGACCUCGUAUGUGACAGGACGUGGUGAGAGCUGCCAAGAAGUAAGAAGGAGUUCAAGAAAAGACUGUUGCACAUAAAAAUGUGCUAGAAGAAGCUCACUAGGAGGACAUGACUGCAAAGGCAUGGCCUACUCUCAUGCCCACCCAAGGGACCCAUGUGUGCUGGGUGUCACCCCAUCACUGACAGGGACAAGGACGAUGGUGGGCAGACCCCUCAUCCUCAAGGAGCAUCCAGCCCAGCAAAGGAGGGGAAAGGAGCGCCUGGCAUCUGGAUGGAGCUGAGGAGCUGCCGGAUUGGAGAGAGCUGAGAGUUGGCUGCUCACCAAGUCCACACGCAGGCACAUGCAGCCACAGACACCUUCACACAUCUCCACAGCCUGCAGGAAUGCAGCCAGACUUCAAGCACAACCGGAGUGCAGGGAAAUCUCCAGCACGACAGCAUGGCGAACUCUUCCUGAGGGAGCCCCCAACGUGUCCCCACACGGAAGAACGAAGCUGGAACCUCACCUCACGCCGCAUCUAAACAUUAACUCGAGGUAUCCCCAAGUCCUAAGUAGGAGCUAAGACUGCAAAGCUCUCAAAUGAAAACAGAGGGGAAAAGCUUUGUGACUUUGGAUUGGGCAAUGAUUUCUUGGAUUUGACACCAAAAGCACAAGCAACAAAAGAGAACAACAAAUAAACUAGAUCACAUCAAAAUUAAAAACUCUUGUGCACCAAAGGAUACAAUCAUCAGCAGGAAAAGGCAGCCCACAGAAUAAGAGAAAAUAUCCACAAGGCAUAUACCUGAUAAAGGACUAGUAUGCAGAAUACAUAAAGAACUCCUAAAAUUCAACAAAAACAACACCCCCCACACCCACCCACCAAACAACCCUGAUUUAAAGACAGGCAAAAAGCCCUGACCAUUGUGGCUCAGCUGGUGGAGUUUCAUCACACAAAGCGAAAAUGCCUGGGCUGUGAGCCUGGUCCCCAGCUGGGAUGCGUGCAAGAGGCAACUGAUCAAUGUUUCUCUCCCUCUUUUUUGUCCUCCUUCCCCUUCUCUCUAAACAUAAAUAAAAAUGGGCAAAGAACUUCAGCACACAUGUCUGCAAAGAAGAUAUAAAAACUGGCAAUAAGCAGAUGAAAAGAUGCUCAACAUCACUAAUCAUUAGGGAAAUGCAGAUCAAAGCCAUGAUGAGAUAGAACAUCAUACCCACUAGGACGGCUCAUACUGAAGCAACAAUAACAAGCAAAGCAAAGCAAAAACAAAACAAAACAAAACAAAACCAGAGAGUGUUGGCAAGGAGACACAAGACCCGGAACCCUUAAGCACUGUGGGCAGGAAUGUGAGAUGGGGUGGCCAUGGUGGAAAACAGUGUGAUGGUUCUUCAUAACUUCAACACAGACCUGCCAUGUGACCCAGCAAUCUCAACUCUGGGUCUGCACCCCAAAGAGGUGCAAGCAGUGACUUGGCUCUUUGCACACCCACGUUCACAGUGGCGUUAUUCACAGCCAAGAAGUGGAAGGAAACAACCCAAAUAUCCAUCAAAAGAUGACGGGAUAAGUAAAACGUGGUCCACCCAUACAGCGAGACAUUAUUCCACCUUAAAGUGGAGGAACGUUCUGGAAGCACAUUCUGCCACAACACAGGUGAACCUUGGGGCUGUGAUGCCUAGUGAAACAAGCCAAACAUAAAAAGACAAGUACCACAUGAUUCCACUCAGAAGAGGUGACAUUUAUAGAGACAAAAAGUGGAUGAUGGUUGCCAGGGGCCAAGGCGAAGGGAAAUUAUUUGAUGCGGAGAGUUUCAGUUUGGGAGGAUGAGAAAGUUCCAGAGACAAGCAGUGGUGAGGGCUGCAUAACAUUGUGAAUGUGCUUAAUCCCACUGGGCUGUGCCCUUAGAUGCGGUUAAAAUGGUGAAUCACCUAUUAUACAUAUUUUACCACAAUUCUAAAAAUUAAGUACCUGUGGGAGUAGUGAGGGGUAAGUGCAGACAACUGUCAUUGAACAACAAUAAAAUAAUUAAAAAAUUAAGUACCUACACAUAACUACAUAUACAUUUUAAAGCAUUAAGCUUUAUAGCUCAUUCAAUUCUUUAUAGCCAUAUCGAAGUCAGUGUUAAGCUCUGCAGCACUGAAACAAAAAACCGGAAAUAACGCACUAUGUCACCUUCUUUGCAUUAGUUAUCUUUAAAGGGAAGGUUAGGAAUGACCUCAACUUUUAUUUCUGCUACAGUUGUGAUUUUAAGCUGAGAGAUAUUAAAUAAUUUAAGUUUGAAAAAGAGUAUUAGAAUGUGUAAGUGGACUUGAUCUGU